rnacentral:rRNA from 1 species
UACGUAGGGUGCAAGCGUUAAUCGGAAUUACUGGGCGUAAAGCGUGCGCAGGCGGUUCGGAAAGAGAGAUGUGAAAUCCCAGGGCUUAACCUUGGAACUGCAUUUUUAACUGCCGGGCUAGAGUAUGUCAGAGGGGGGUAGAAUUCCACGUGUAGCAGUGAAAUGCGUAGAGAUGUGGAGGAAUACCGAUGGCGAAGGCAGCCCCCUGGGAUAAUACUGACGCUCAUGCACGAAAGCGUGGGGAGCAAACAGG